CUUGACUCCCAUAAGAGGUCCAGCCUGCCCAGUGAUACUAUUAAACGGCCGCGGUACUCUGACCGUGCGAAGGUAGCAUAAUAACUUGUUCUUUAAAUGGGGACUAGCAUGAACGGCAUCACGAGGGUCUCACUGUCUCCUUUUUCUAAUCAGUGAAACUGAUCUCCCCGUGAAGAAGCGGGGAUAAAAAUAUAAGACGAGAAGACCCCAUGGAGCUUUAAACCCAAUAGACACCUCUGACUAAUCUAACCCAAAACACUUCUUAAGUUCUGUCUAUUGGUUUUAGGUUGGGGUGACCACGGAGUACAAUAAAUCCUCCAUGACGUACGGGACUUCCCUCUUAUCCUUGAACCACAUUUCUAAGAAUCAACAAAUUGACGUUUGAUGAUCCAAAAUUUUGAUCAACGU
rnacentral:rRNA from 1 species